rnacentral:rRNA from 1 species
UACGGGGGGGGGCAAGCGUUGUUCGGAAUUACUGGGCGUAAAGAGUGUGUAGGCGGUGCUCUAAGUCUGUUGUGAAAUCUCCCGGCUUAACCGGGAGGGUGCGGCGGAAACUGGAGUGCUUGAGGGUGGGAGAGGUAAGCGGAAUUCCUGGUGUAGCGGUGAAAUGCGUAGAUAUCAGGAGGAACACCUGUGGUGUAGACAGCUUACUGGACCACUUCUGACGCUGAGACACGAAAGCGUGGGUAGCAAACAGG